rnacentral:rRNA from 1 species
UACGUAGGUGGCAAGCGUUGUCCGGAAUUAUUGGGCGUAAAGCGCGCGCAGGCGGUCCUUUAAGUCUGAUGUGAAAGCCCACGGCUCAACCGUGGAGGGUCAUUGGAAACUGGGGGACUUGAGUACAGAAGAGAAGAGUGGAAUUCCACGUGUAGCGGUGAAAUGCGUAGAGAUGUGGAGGAACACCAGUGGCGAAGGCGACUCUUUGGUCUGUAACUGACGCUGAGGCGCGAAAGUGCGGGGAUCAAACAGG